rnacentral:lncRNA from 1 species
UAGUUUCGGACCAACAUACAAACAAAAUAAAAUAUGUACAGGUUAGCAAUAAAAAAGAAAAAAUAAAUGACGAAUAAAUCUCCACGUAUGUCAAAAACAACCCAAACUAUGCUAGACUCACUUAGGGAAAAUCGGUUCCCCACCAGAGUCGCCCACUGUCCCUACCGGGAUUUCACGAUAACGAAAUCGAGAUUAAUGAACUAAAAUAAAUUCCUAAAGGGAAAGGAAAGAUCAGAAGAUUCGCCACCAAAUUUUAUUUGUAUGCCUCUAU